UUCGGGUGAACUGUGGUUAAGGAACUCGGCAAAUUGCCCCCGUAACUUCGGGAGAAGGGGGGCCUCCGCUGGUGAUCAGACUUGCUUUGUGAGCUGGUGGGGGUCGCAGAGGCCAGGGGGAAGCGACUGUUUACUAAAAACACAGGUCCGUGCGAAGUCGUAAGACGAUGUAUACGGACUGACGCCUGCCCGGUGCUGGAACGUUAAGGGGACCGGUUAGCGGGACGUAAGUCCUGCGAGGCUGAGAACUUAAGCGCCAGUAAACGGCGGUGGUAACUAUAACCAUCCUAAGGUAGCGAAAUUCCUUGUCGGGUAAGUUCCGACCUGCACGAAUGGCGUAACGACUUCCCCGCUGUCUCAACCGCAGACCCGGCGAAAUUGCACUACGAGUAAAGAUGCUCGUUACGCGCAGCAGGACGGAAAGACCCCGGGACCUUCACUACAGCUUGACAUUGGCGUUUGGAACGUCUUGUGUAGGAUAGGUGGGAGACUGUGAAGCCGUCACGCUAGUGGUGGUGGAGUCAUUGGUGAAAUACCACUCUGGUCGUUUUGAACGUCUAACUUCGGUCCGUGAUCCGGAUCAGGGACAGUGUCUGGUGGGUAGUUUAACUGGGGCGGUUGCCUCCUAAAGAGUAACGGAGGCGCCCAAAGGUUCCCUCAGCCUGGUUGGUAAUCAGGUGUCGAGUGUAAGUGCACAAGGGAGCUUGACUGUGAGACCGACGGGUCGAGCAGGAGCGAAAGCUGGGACUAGUGAUCCGGCGGUGGCAUGUGGAAGCGCCGUCGCUCAACGGCUAAAAGGUACCCCGGGGAUAACAGGCUGAUCUUCCCCAAGAGUCCAUAUCGACGGGAUGGUUUGGCACCUCGAUGUCGGCUCGUCGCAUCCUGGGGCUGGAGUAGGUCCCAAGGGUUGGGCUGUUCGCCCAUUAAAGCGGUACGCGAGCUGGGUUUAGAACGUCGCGAGACAGUUCGGUCCCUAUCCGCUGCGCGCGCAGGAGACUUGAAAGGAGCUGUCCCUAGUACGAGAGGACCGGGACGGACGAACCUCUGGUGUGCCAGUUGUUCCGCCAGGAGCAUGGCUGGUUGGCUACGUUCGGAAGGGAUAACCGCUGAAAGCAUCUAAGCGGGAAGCUCGCCUUGAGAUGAGGUCUCCCACCACGUGAGUGGGUAAGGCCCCCGGGAGACGACCGGGUUGAUAGGCCGGAGGUGGAAGCACGGUAACGUGUGGAGCUGACCGGUACUAAUAGGCCGAGGACUUGACCAG
rnacentral:rRNA from 1 species